UACGUAGGGUGCGAGCGUUACUCGGAAUUACUGGGCGUAAAGCGUGCGCAGGCGGUUUUGUAAGCCCGAUGUGAAAGCCCCGGGCUUAACCUGGGAAUGGCAUUUGGGACUGCAAGGCUUGAGUGCGGCAGAGGAGACUGGAAUUCCCGGUGUAGCAGUGAAAUGCGUAGAUAUCGGGAGGAAUACCGAUGGCGAAGGCAGGUCUCUGGGCUGACACUGACGCUCAUGCACGAAAGCGUGGGGAGCAAACAGG
rnacentral:rRNA from 1 species